rfam:Mesocricetus auratus contig191433, whole genome shotgun sequence.
CCAAAGGCUCUUUUCAGAGCCACCCAGAGAGCUCUGUGAAUGUAG